GGGCCUGGUUUCCUAGGGGUUGGGCUCAGUGUACUCCACCUCCUCUCAGCUAAGCCUAGAGUAGAGGGCAGGAGCACCUGUGUGGGAGAGCUGCUUAAGCAAGGAGCAUUGCCUGGGCUGCCCUAGCCUCACAUUU
ensembl:scaRNA